rnacentral:lncRNA from 1 species
GUUUGUAAAUGAGUUUGAACGUGGGUAGAAAAUAAGAGAUAUGUUUAAACUUGGCUACAGUGCCUGUGGUGUAGCGGUGAGGGGGGAGUGCGUCGUGUAGUGUCACUGUGUCACUAUACCGCCAGUGAAAGACCCCAGGUGAUGCACCACAAAACCAGGGCAGUGACUAUUGUGAUGCUACACCGCAACGUUGACCCAGUGUUGUGGACAGUUUGAACGUAAAUAAGCUUUUGUUGUUAUAGACGAAUAGUCUUUUUCGGGUAAAGAAAAUCCGUAUUUUAUUCAGAUUUGUUUAAGUAAUAUUGAUAGUAAUGAUGAUGAUGAUGAUAAUUGAUAAAUAAUCUUUGAAUAUUAAAGUAAUUGAGAAGUUUGUUCACGGAUUUGAUAUUUAUUUUUUGUUGGUAGUAUUAUUAAUCUAAUUUCUUUUAAAUGAUGUGAACGUGAAUUUAGAAAAAAAUAUGAAUGAAUUUAUUGGAUUCAGUGUGUGAUAACGUGGACUCCGCUGCGAUUUUGUUUAUCCUUUUCUUUAUUUUUUCUUAGCUUCAGUUUUCAUUCUCGAGUGCUGAAAACAACAACAACAAACCCAAAGAGAAAGAACACAUAAAUGAAAAAGAAAUACAUAUAAAAAAAGCAUAA